GUUGGGAGACUUGAUUUCUUAGUGGCGCAGCUAACGCACUAAGUAGACCGCCUGGGGAGUACGGCCGCAAGGUUAAAACUCAAAUGAAUUGACGGGGGCCCGCACAAGCGGUGGAGCAUGUGGUUUAAUUCGAUGCAACGCGAAGAACCUUACCAGGCCUUGACAUCCUGAGAACUUGGUAGAGAUACCUUGGUGCCUUCGGGAACUCAGUGACAGGUGCUGCAUGGCUGUCGUCAGCUCGUGUCGUGAGAUGUUGGGUUAAGUCCCGUAACGAGCGCAACCCUUGUCCUUAGUUGCCAGCGAUUCGGUCGGGAACUCUAAGGAGACUGACGGUGACAAACCGUAGGAAGGUGGGGACGACGUCAAGUCAUCAUGGCCCUUACGGCCUGGGCUACACACGUGCUACAAUGGAACGCACAAAGGGCGGCGAAGGCGCGAGCUGGAGCGAAUCCCACAAAACGUUUCGUAGUCCGGAUCGCAGUCUGCAACUCGACUGCGUGAAGUCGGAAUCGCUAGUAAUCGUGAAUCAGAAUGUCACGGUGAAUACGUUCCCGGGCCUUGUACACACCGCCCGUCACAUCAUGGGAGUGGGUUGCUCCAGAAGUGGUUAGUCUAACCU
rnacentral:rRNA from 1 species